rnacentral:rRNA from 1 species
ACGGGUGAGUAACGCGUAGGUAACCUGCCUGGUAGCGGGGGAUAACUAUUGGAAACGAUAGCUAAUACCGCAUAAGAGUAGAUGUUGCAUGACAUUUGCUUAAAAGGUGCAAUUGCAUCACUACCAGAUGGACCUGCGUUGUAUUAGCUAGUUGGUGGGGUAACGGCUCACCAAGGCGACGAUACAUAGCCGACCUGAGAGGGUGAUCGGCCACAUUGGGACUGAGACACGGCCCAAACUCCUACGGGAGGCAGCAGUAGGGAAUCUUCCGCAAUGGACGCAAGUCUGACGGAGCAACGCCGCGUGAGUGAAGAAGGUUUUCGGAUCGUAAAACUCUGUUGUUAGAGAAGAACAAGUGCUAGAGUAACUGUUAGCACCUUGACGGUAUCUAACCAGAAAGCCACGGCUAACUACGUGCCAGCAGCCGCGGUAAUACGUAGGUGGCAAGCGUUGUCCGGAUUUAUUGGGCGUAAAGCGAGCGCAGGCGGUUCCUUAAGUCUGAUGUGAAAGCCCCCGGCUCAACCGGGGAGGGUCAUUGGAAACUGGGGAACUUGAGUGCAGAAGAGGAGAGUGGAAAUUCCAUGUGUAGCGGUGAAAUGCGUAGAUAUAUGGAGGAACACCAGUGGCGAAGGCGACUCUCUGGUCUGUAACUGAUGCUGAGCUCGAAAGCGUGGUAGCAAACAGGAUAGAUACCCU